UUGAGCCUUGGUUGUUACCUUUUUCAUGAUCUGGAUGAUUCUUACCCCUCAUUUCCCCAGCACCUUCUGUGGGACAUAGUGACCCCAGCUGAGGCUUCCUAGUGCCUGCCAGACUAUUGCUGACUGGAUCAAUAUGAACAGAUGGGGCUGAACUUUUGGAUUAUAGGAGGCAAUUGACAGACAAACUGCUAACCAAGAGGCCUCAGAAAUCUUUAUCAAACAAUUAGCUUUUGAUAAUGCAAAUCAAGAUUGUAAAGGCAUCCUUAGACCACCUAAGGCUUCUCCUAGGAUUUCUACAAGUGGACAAGACUGUUAUUAACUCCAAAGAGAUGGCUGCCCUGUACUUUGUGCACAAAGCCACAAGAAUGUUCCAUGAUCGCUUGAUUGAGUUUGCUGAUAAGAACCUCUUCUACCAGUGCCUUUCAAAGGAACUUGAGAAUCCUUUCAG